GAUGAACGCUGGCGGCGUGCCUAAUACAUGCAAGUCGAGCGAACGGACGGGAAGCUUGCUUCUCUGAUGUUAGCGGCGGACGGGUGAGUAACACGUGGAUAACCUACCUAUAAGACUGGGAUAACUUCGGGAAACCGGAGCUAAUACCGGAUGAUAUUUUGAACCGCAUGGUUCAAAAGUGAAAGACGGUCUUGCUGUCACUUAUAGAUGGAUCCGCGCUGCAUUAGCUAGUUGGUAAGGUAAUGGCUUACCAAGGCAACGAUGCAUAGCCGACCUGAGAGGGUGAUCGGCCACACUGGAACUGAGACACGGUCCAGACUCCUACGGGAGGCAGCAGUAGGGAAUCUUCCGCAAUGGGCGAAAGCCUGACGGAGCAACGCCGCGUGAGUGAUGAAGGUCUUCGGAUCGUAAAACUCUGUUAUUAGGGAAGAACAUAUGUGUAAGUAACUGUGCACAUCUUGACGGUACCUAAUCAGAAAGCCACGGCUAACUACGUG
rnacentral:rRNA from 1 species